rnacentral:miRNA from 1 species
UGCGCCUCGGGUGAGCAUG